GCCAAAGUUCUAGCUAGAGCGAAGGAUCAAAGCGAGCAAAGCAAAUCAGGGAAGCAAGCGAAGAAGAAGACGAUCUCUUUCUCUCUCACUUUCGUUCUUCGAGCGAGCUAGAUCUCUCUCACUCUCACAGGUGUUUGGAGCUCAAGAGCUCUCUCUCCCCUCUUUUCCAGAGCAGAUCGAAUCGCCCAUCAUCCAGGAAGCGGAGAAAUGGAGGCCGGGAAGGUGCUGAACAAGGUGCUCGCGGUGGUGAUGUUGGUGGUGCUGUUGCUGGCGGUGGCGGAGGCCGCGCGCCUGACCAAGUCGUUUGGUGGCGGCGGCCUCGAGGUGGACGAUCUCAGCCUGGAGCAGCAGCAGCAAGUCCUGGAUCUUGGUAGCCGCUUGGAGCACGCGACCCGGCAAUUGCUCACGCAGGAUCCAUACCACACUUACUGAUGAUCAUGAUCAUUCUUCCUUCGUCGCUCGUUCUUCGUUCGUUCGAGGUCUCUCUUUGAAAUGAAAGUGGAAAAGAAAAAAAAAAUUGUUCUCGUCGCGCUCUCUCCUCUCUAUUCUCUCGAUCUUCUCGGUCGAUCUAUCAGCUCGGCAGCAGCAGUAUCAGCAGCAGCAGCAGCAGCAGUGGCAGCAAGAAAGAAAAGAAAGAAAACUCGUCUUUGGUGUGUUCGUCAUAAAAGACAUUCGGAUCAAGAGGGCGGAGGGAUCGAUCGCUCCAUAGCCGAUGCUUGUUCUUCGAGGUUCUCUCGAUUGGGUUUCCAGCCGGCAUUCUUGCUACUGUGAAGAGAUUCUCUCUCUCUCUCUUGGUUGGGUAUGUUCUUUCUCUUUUGGUUUGUGGGUCUAGUUAGGCUCUUUAGAUCUUGCGGGGGCGACGAGGGGGCUCGCGGGAAGCUACAUUCUCUAAUGUAGCUUCGUUCCUGGCGGGCAUUUGUAGCAUCUCUUCUUUUGCCACACUCUGGCAUCAAUAAGGAACUUUGGUUCUCUCCAGAUCUCCAGAUCUCCAAAUCCAUGGCGUUCUUCCUUCUUGGGCUGUUUCUAACUUGGGUCUUGCAGAUCUGGCAGGCGAGCUCCACGCUUCCCUCGCGUCUCGCCAGGAGUUCUUAAAGAUCUGGGCGUGGAUAACAGGUUCGUUCCCAUCAAUCCCGCGAGUGAGUAGUAAGUUUGCAGUGGGUUUCUAGCACGAAAGGCACGAGAGCAACCGGUCCCCCGUGGAAGUUUGGUGGGUGUUCUUAGUGUUGUUCGUUCGAUCGGUGGUUCGUUCACAUGAUGGUCGAGAGAGAUUGUUGCUCGCUCCACCACAAUCCAUCGCUCGAUCGUCUCGAUCGCUUUUGAUUUCCAUGGUGCCUCUAUAUUGAUUAGCUCUGUAGCUUAUAGCAGCUCCAAAUGGCAGGCAAGCUUCUCUAUAGAGCGAUGUGAUCGCCUUAAAAAACUCUUUCCAAAGCUAGCUUGUUUGAUCAAUCACGAGGAGAAAGAAUUCUUCUUUGUCACCAUCGCGAUAAAAAGAAAAGCUCACGAGAUCAAGCUAUAGUAGAGAACUUUUUCUAGCG
rnacentral:lncRNA from 1 species